UACGUAGGGUGCGAGCGUUGUCCGGAUUUAUUGGGCGUAAAGAGCUCGUAGGCGGUUUGUCGCGUCGGCCGUGAAAUCUCCACGCUUAACGUGGAGCGUGCGGUCGAUACGGGCAGACUGGAGUACUGCAGGGGAGACUGGAAUUCCUGGUGUAGCGGUGGAAUGCGCAGAUAUCAGGAGGAACACCGGUGGCUAAGGCGGGUCUCUGGGCAGUAACUGACGCUGAGGAGCGAAAGCGUGGGGAGCGAACAGG
rnacentral:rRNA from 1 species